CCGCCUCCUUGCCGGCGAUCCAGUCACGCUUGGUAAAAUAAUUAUGAUGCCUUUUUUCUUCAUUUCUAAGUGGUAAGUACUAUGCACGGUUAAAAAAAGCACAAAAGAUAGCCAAGAGCAAGGUUUCCGACUUUCCGAGGAGGCUCUGAGCCUCUGACAUAUCUUAGCAAGAUAAAGCACGCAUGGCAAGUCACGGUAGAUAUUGAAUACUCGCUUGGUUGGUGGAAAACGGGAGGAGGUUUGUUGACGAAAACUACCAAAUACUUUGGUUGAAAUUUUUAAAAUAAAUAUAUAUUCAAAUACAUCUUUGCAUACUUUUUUUCAUUUAAGCCAUAUCAUCUUUGCUAAACCAAAUGUCUAAAUCUAAAUAUAAAUACUACGACUAAUUCAUGGUCAAUCCUAUAUAGGUUUGUGCUGCAAUAUUUCUUAAUCUACUUUGAAAUCAUUCGUAAAAAUUUUAAAUAUCACUGAAAAAUUUAGCUAAAAGUAUUAUUCAGAUUUUUUUGGCUGUUUAUAUAUAACCAAAAUUUAACCAGCAUAUAACCAAUAUAAGAUAUUAAACAUACACCAGUACGAGGGACUUGAUACAAUGACCUCUUGGUCACUCUUAGUGAUCAAGAAGGAGAGAAAAGCUAAAUACCUUUUGUA
rnacentral:lncRNA from 1 species